AUCUGAGGCAGUGUGAGAAGAUUUCUCACUCAUCCCUACCCUAAUGAGGAUCAUGCUCCUCUACUGCAUAGGCUUUUUUCUCCUGGAAGUAGAUCCCAUGGAUGCUGGUGUCACUCAGAACUUCAGAUAUCUGGUCACAGGGACAGAACGCAAGGUGACACUGAGAUGUGACCAGGAUCUGACACAUGACUAUAUGUGCUGGUAUAGACAAGACCCAGGCUUGGGACUAAGACUUAUCCAUUAUUCUAUUGAUGUGAACCUUGUAGACAAAGGAGAAAUCUCAGAUGGCUACAGUGCCUCUCGAACAAAGCAGCAAUUCUUUCUUCUAAUCCUGGAGUCUACGAGCAGAAACCAAACAUCUGACUAUUUUUGUGCCAGCAGUUACCACAGAAUAGCAGAGUAUCAUCCUCCCUGA